AUGACCUUCAUCAUCAUCUUCAUCUGGACUCUCACAGCGUUUGCUCAAGAGUGUAGAGGACAGAUCACCGUCACUCAGAGUCCCUCAAUGACAGCAGCUCAACCAGAACAAACUGUGAACAUCAACUGUAAAACCAGCACAGAUGUGCAGAGAUGGCCUAGUGGAGAUGAAGGUUUAGCCUGGUACUUACAGAAACCUGGAGAAGCUCCUAAACUCCUGAUUUAUUAUGCAAACAACCUCCAGUCAGGAACUCCAUCUAGAUUCAGUGGCAGUGGAUCUAACAGUGAUUUCACUCUGACCAUCAGUGGAGUCCAGACUGAAGAUGCUGGACUUUAUUACUGUCAGAGUUUCCAUUGCAGAAGACGUUCUGAUGGUCAUUGUGUGGGUGACCAUGUGUUCACACAGUGA